GAUGAACGCUAGCGGCAGGCUUAAUACAUGCAAGUCGAGGGGUAGCAAGAUUGUAGCAAUACAAUUGUUGACGACCGGCAAACGGGUGCGGAACACGUACACAACCUUCCUACAAAUGGGGAAUAGCCCAGAGAAAAUUGGAUUAAUACCCCGUAACAUAGCGAUGUGGCAUCACAUUGCUAUUAUAGCUGCGGCGCUUGUUGAUGGGUGUGCUGCUGAUUAGAUUAGUGACGGGGUAACGGCCCACCAAGACUACGAUAAGUAGCUGAUGUGAGGGCAGAGUCGGCCUAACGAUCACUAAGCAAUGGGCCCGAUGCGUACACGAGGCAGCAGUAAGUAAUAUUUGACAAUGGACGCAAGUCUGAUCCAGCCAUGCCGCAUGAAGGAUUAAAGUCCUCUAGAUUGUAAACUUCUUUUAUAAGGGACGAAAAAAGGUCUUUCUAGAUCGUCUGCCGGUACCUUAUGAAUAAGCACCGGCUAACUCCGUGCCAGCCGCCGCAGUAAAAC
rnacentral:rRNA from 1 species